rnacentral:rRNA from 1 species
AUGGAGCCGGCCUUGAAAUACCACCCUUUAAUGUUUGAUGUUCUAACGUGGACCCGUGAUCCGGGUUGCGGACAGUGUCUGGUGGGUAGUUUGACUGGGGCGGUCUCCUCCUAAAGAGUAACGGAGGAGCACGAAGGUUGGCUAAUCCUGGUCGGACAUCAGGAGGUUAGUGCAAUGGCAUAAGCCAGCUUGACUGCGAGCGUGACGGCGCGAGCAGGUGCGAAAGCAGGUCAUAGUGAUCCGGUGGUUCUGAAUGGAAGGGCCAUCGCUCAACGGAUAAAAGGUACUCCGGGGAUAACAGGCUGAUACCGCCCAAGAGUUCAUAUCGACGGCGGUGUUUGGCACCUCGAUGUCGGCUCAUCACAUCCUGGGGCUGAAGUAGGUCCCAAGGGUAUGGCUGUUCGCCAUUUAAAGUGGUACGCGAGCUGGGUUUAGAACGUCGUGAGACAGUUCGGUCCCUAUCUGCCGUGGGCGCUGGAGAACUGAGGGGGGCUGCUCCUAGUACGAGAGGACCGGAGUGGACGCAUCACUGGUGUUCGGGUUGUCAUGCCAAUGGCACUGCCCGGUAGCUAAAUGCGGAAGAGAUAAGUGCUGAAAGCAUCUAAGCACGAAACUUGCCCCGAGAUGAGUUCUCCCUGACCCUUUAAGGGUCCUGAAGGAACGUUGAAGACGACGACGUUGAUAGGCCGGGUGUGUAAGCGCAGCGAUGCGUUGAGCUAACCGGUACUAAUGAACCGUGAGGCUUAA